GUGCUCGCUUCGGCAGCACAUAUACUAAAAUUGAAACGAUACAGAGAAGAUUAGCAUGGCCCCUGCACAAGGAUGACACCCAAAUUUGUGAAGUGUUCCAUAUUAAA